CUGUGUGAUGUUGACAGCCAUUAUUCAAUUUAGAUCACAUGCCAUGUAUGAAGAUUUGGCUCUUGUGCAUUCCUGUGGGGUUAACAACCUUCUACCAUUCAGAUGAGAUGCUUCCAUCCUCAUCUUGAGACCCCGUUCACAUGAAAGCAUCAAGUUGGAAGAGGAUUUAGAUCUUGUGCACUGCUGUGGGUUAACAACCUUCUACCAUUCAGAUGAGAUGCUUCACUCCUCAUCUUGAGACCCCGUUCACAUGAAAGCAUCAAGUUGGAAGAGGAUUUAGAUCUUGUGCACUGCUGUGGGUUAACAACCUUCUACCAUUCAGAUGAGAUGCAUUCAUCCUUAUCUUGAGACCCUAUUCACAUGAAAAUAUCAAGUUGGAAGAGGAUUUAAAGCUUGUGCAUUCUUGUGGGUUGCUUUCAUCCUCAUCCUGAGACCCUGUUCACAUGAAAGCAUCAAGUUGGAAGAGGAUGUAGAUCUUGUGCAUUCUUGUGGGUUGCUUCCAUCUUCAUCUUGAGACCCCAUUCACGUGAAAGCAUCAAGUUGGAAGAGGAUUUAGAUCUUGCGCACUGCUGUUGGUUAACAACCUUCUACCAUUCAGAUGAGAUGCAUUCAUCCUUAUCUUGAGACCCUGAUCACAUGAAAACAUCAAGUUGGAGAAGGAUUUUUGUCUUGUGCCGUCCUGUGGGUUAACAACCUUCUACCAUUCAGAUUUGAUGCUUUCAUCAUCAUCUUGAGACCCUGUUCACAUGAAAGCAUCAAGUUGGAGAAGUAUUUUUGUCUUGUGCAUUUCUGUGUGGUUAGCAACCAUCUACCAUUCAGGUGAGAUACACUUAUCAUUAUCUUUAGGCCCCAGUCACUCAAAAGUAUCAAUUGCAGUAAAUAUGUGAUACACUCUCAGUAUGAGUAUACAGCAUAGUAUGAGUCUACAUGUUCCAAAUGUUUGAGCCUGAAAAUUUUUGAACUAUACAUGUAGGUUGAUGAAUAUUAACCAUUCAAAUAUCUUUUUUUUAAAUUAUAUAGUGAGCAAAUCACCCAACAUGACAUUGGGUCAUAAUAUUAUAAAAAAAAUCCUUUAUCAAUAGUAUUGAGUCCCUACAUCGAAUAUGAAAAUUCUCAGGCCCAUCUGAAAGUAGGGAAAGUAAGAUAGUAUUGUCUAUGAUGACAAAGGUUUCUAUUGCAUUGAAUAUUCAUCUUGCAGAUGAAGUGUAUUGACAUACCAAAAAGUCAGCCUUGGCCUUCUUGAUUUUCAUUUCUUCAUCUUCGCAGUAAUAUAUCACCUGGAUUGCAGCCUUUUAAUAAUCUUGGGAUAAGAGUGAAUUGUCCAGUAGCUGAAGCUUGAUCCGGGGGUAAAUCUUGCUAGAGCUACAGGAACAUGGAUCCACAUGUAUUUGUUACAGGCAUCAAAAUCCAGGAGUGUGUACACUGAGAGAGCCUUUGAUACCGGAUGAGACGGAAGCAGGAUUCCGUGCUCCAGUUUCAGGAACCCAUUCUCUUAAAUUUACUGCGCUGCUUGUCUGUUAUGUCAAGGAUCUGAAGAAAACUACAACCCAGUUGAUUUUAAUGAUUUCUAAUGACGGACCAUCAGCUCAACCCAAAUCCAUCAGCACCUAUCUACGUGUGUUCCUUGUUUAGGACUUUAUAGGGUCCAAAAGUUUCUGGAAUUAUGGAAUAAAGAGAACUACAGAUUACCAUACGUCAUGCCUGAUAGUGCCCAGCAGACAGAGCAUGCAUGUGAGCCUGAGCAGAAAGUUGCGACACAUAGAGAAUUUUGUCUACCAUAAUUGAAAGUCUUCAUCUUUGAUGCUAUGAUGGCCAAUCAAAAAAGCUAGGGAGGCCUAUCUGGUUUGGCUAUUUGAAGACAACAACCUGUGUUGUCAUCCAUGCCCAGAUGAUUUCCAUCGUGCUGAAAGAUAACCAUCAAAUACACUAAGCUGAUGUGAUAGCCUUGAUCUGCUGGAUUAUAUGGACACCUAUCUUUGUUAAAGACAUAUAACUGUCCAGGGGAAAAAGACAGUGCUAGUCAUGAACUGGUUAUUUUAUUUACAAGAUCAUCAUGGAAGAUAGCCUUUGGAAGGUAAAGCUAAAGCUUAUAAUGAGGUUAUUCACUGAUGACUUUUGCAUUCAUUCAUUGUCAGAAUGAAAGAAUCUUGGAAAAGACAUGAUAAAGAUGCAAUGUGAUCUAAAAUGUAUUAUGUAGGCCUACUCUCAAUUUUCACUAUUGUUUCAUUUUAUUGUAUGAACUGGUGGAGCAUUUCAUGAGAGGACCUGCUGGAUGUUUUAUCCAAUAAACUCUGUUUUACCCAACAGUUACUAUAUGAACAGUGCUUCUCAGCCAAUCAAAAUCAUGGAAAGUUGUUAGAUCUGACGACUUGUCGGACAAAACUAUUGAUGAAACGUUCCUCAGUUCUCAAGCAUGGGGCG
rnacentral:lncRNA from 1 species